rnacentral:tRNA from 1 species
GGGCCAUUAGCUCAGUUGGUAGAGCACUCGACUUUUAAUCGAGGUGUCCCGGGUUCGAGCCCCGGAUGGCCCACCA